AAACGACAGAGGAAGAAUAAAUCCUGAUGGUAAAUAUACGUCAAGUCAUCGUGGAUUGUCUUCCUUAUUCUGUACCACAGGAAGAAUAAAUCCUAAGGGUGAAUAUAUGUCAAGUCAUCGUGGAUUGUCUUCCUUAUUCUGUACCACAGGUUGCGGAGGGGCAACAGAUGCAUACCUUUCCUUGAAUUCAUCAUUGGAAAUGGAUCAUCCUCGAAUGGCAGAAAACCAAGGUGGCGUGAGAGCUCCGAUUUUUUUGUUGAGCGCUAAAGCAAGCCACUCUGGCUUCUUUAUCGCAUUUCAAAGCUCCAAAUCUUCACUUCAGCUCAGUCCAUGCCAACAUCGACCAGGAAUUUACAAUAAAUCUGGCUGGUUGGCCACCCCCGGUUACUGUCGACUUAAAGAAUUUUAUUAUUUUUUUGAUGAAGCUUUAAAACACAGGAAAAUAAACAAUUAAAGAGUUUCCAGUGGAAACGCAUCUUAUUUCUUUUCUUCACUUCGAUACAUGCAACUCUGACACAUACAUUAUUUACAUACUGCUUUCCAAAAAAAGGGGCUGUACCUUUGCUUGUAAUGCCAGGCUGCUCCCCCAGUAGCAGUUUUAGCCGCUUGGCGUGGAUUUUACCCUGGUAGUGUGACUGUGCAACCACUGCUGAUGUGAAGGACAUGUUACACAGCGUGCAACAUUUAUUCUUGUCCACGUCACCCUCGUCGUUCCCCUACAGAGAUACAACAACAUGAGUCACGACAAUACUACAACAGAUUAUUUCAGUAAGCCGAUACAAGAUUAAAUAUACGCAGU